AUUGAACGCUGGCGGCAGGCCUAACACAUGCAAGUCGAGCGGAUGAAGGGAGCUUGCUCCUGGAUUCAGCGGCGGACGGGUGAGUAAUGCCUAGGAAUCUGCCUGGUAGUGGGGGAUAACGUCCGGAAACGGGCGCUAAUACCGCAUACGUCCUGAGGGAGAAAGUGGGGGAUCUUCGGACCUCACGCUAUCAGAUGAGCCCAGGUCGGAUUAGCUAGUUGGUGGGGUAAAGGCCUACCAAGGCGACGAUCCGUAACUGGUCUGAGAGGAUGAUCAGUCACACUGGAACUGAGACACGGUCCAGACUCCUACGUGAGGCAGCAGUGGGGAAUAUUGGACAAUGGGCGAAAGCCUGAUCCAGCCAUGCCGCGUGUGUGAAGAAGGUCUUCGGAUUGUAAAGCACUUUAAGUUGGGAGGAAGGGCAGUAAGUUAAUACCUUGCUGUUUUGACGUUACCAACAGAAUAAGCACCGGCUAACUUCGUG
rnacentral:rRNA from 1 species